rnacentral:rRNA from 1 species
AGUGAACGCUGGCGGUAGGCCUAACACAUGCAAGUCGAACGAAAGCACAGUAAGCGCUUGCUUUUACGGGUGGCGAGUGGCGGACGGGUAAGGCAUACAUCACCAUCUACUUUUUCGUGGGGGAUUACGUAGAGACACUUAUGAUACUACCGCAUACGUCCUACGGGUGAAAUCAGUAGAUAUUCGGACCUUGCCUGUUUGAUUGAGCUGGUUUCGGCUUAGCUAGUUGGCGAGGUAAAGGCCCACCAAGGCGACGAUACGUAGCUGAUCUGAGAGGAUGAUCGGCCACACUGGAACUGAGACACGGUCCAGACUCCUACGGGAGGCAGCAGUAGGGAAUAUUCGACAAUGGGCGCAAGCCUGACCCAGCCAUACCGCGUGAGUGAUGAAGGCCUUCGGAUUGUAAAGCCCUGUUGUUGGGAAAGAAAAGCUGCAUGUUAAUACCCCGACGUUCUGACGGUACCCAAAGAAUAAGCACCGGCUAACUUCGUG